rnacentral:rRNA from 1 species
UACGGGGGGUGCAAGCGUUAUUUGGAAUCAUUGGGCGUAAAGGGCGCGUAGGCGGUCUUUUAAGUCAGAUGUGAAAGCCCUCGGCUUAACCGAGGAAGUGCAUUUGAUACUAAGAGACUUGAGUAUGGGAGAGGGAAGCGGAAUUCCUGGUGUAGCGGUGAAAUGCGUAGAUAUCAGGAGGAACACCGGUGGCGAAGGCGGCUUCCUGGACCAAUACUGACGCUGAGGCGCGAAGGCGUGGGGAGCAAACUGG